UUAUGGCAAAGCAGUCGAAAGGCUGUGACGCAAAGCUAUAGGGGCUAUCCGGAAAGCCAGCCAGUUGC
rnacentral:ncRNA from 1 species